GGUUCCAUAGUGUAGUGGUUAGCAUGUCUGCUUUACACGCAGAAGGUCCUGGGUUCGUGCCCCAGUGGAGCCA
rnacentral:tRNA from 1 species